rnacentral:rRNA from 1 species
CCUGCCUGGGAGCGGGGGAUAACCUGGGGAAACUCGGGCUAAUACCGCAUACGUUCUCAGCGUCAUGGCGCUGAGAGGAAAGCUGGCCAAUUCUUGAAAGCUAGCACUCCUAGAGGGGUCCGCGCUCGAUUAGCUUGUUGGUGGGGUAAUGGCCUACCAAGGCUGCGAUCGAUAGCCGGCCUGAGAGGGCGAUCGGCCACACUGGGACUGAGACACGGCCCAG